rnacentral:rRNA from 1 species
AUUAGAUACCCGGGUAGUCGUGCAGUCCGGCUUGUAAUUCGUAUACGUAUCACCGA